rnacentral:rRNA from 1 species
GGGGGAACUUAAGACCUAAAACUAUAGGGUUGGCCGAUGGCUGAUUAACUAAAUUAGUAAGGGUAAAGGCCUACCAAGGCGACGAUCAGUAGCUGGUCUGAGAGGACGACCAGCCACACUGGGACUGAGACACGGCCCAGACUCCUACGGGAGGCAGCAGUGGGGAAUUUUGGACAAUGGGCGAAAGCCUGAUCCAGCAAUGCCGCGUGUGUGAAGAAGGCCUUCGGGUUGUAAAGCACUUUUGUCCGGAAAGAAAUCCUUGGCUCUAAUACAGUCGGGGGAUGACGGUACCGGAAGAAUAAGCACCGGCUAACUACGUGCCAGCAGCCGCGGUAAUACGUAGGGUGCAAGCGUUAAUCGGAAUUACUGGGCGUAAAGCGUGCGCAGGCGGUUUGCUAAGACCGAUGUGAAAUCCCCGGGCUCAACCUGGGAACUGCAUUGGUGACUGGCAGGCUAGAGUAUGGCA